GACGAACGCUGGCGGCGUGCUUAACACAUGCAAGUCGAACGCUGAAGCCCCAGCUUGCUGGGGUGGAUGAGUGGCGAACGGGUGAGUAACACGUGAGUAACCUGCCCAUCACUCUGGGAUAAGCGCUGGAAACGGCGUCUAAUACUGGAUACGAGCAACGACCGCAUGGUCAGCUGCUGGAAAGACUGGUUCGGUGAUGGAUGGACUCGCGGCCUAUCAGCUUGUUGGUGAGGUAAUGGCUCACCAAGGCGACGACGGGUAGCCGGCCUGAGAGGGUGACCGGCCACACUGGGACUGAGACACGGCCCAGACUCCUACGGGAGGCAGCAGUGGGGAAUAUUGCACAAUGGGCGCAAGCCUGAUGCAGCAACGCCGCGUGAGGGAUGACGGCCUUCGGGUUGUAAACCUCUUUUAGUAGGGAAGAAGCCUUCGGGUGACGGUACCUGCAGAAAAAGCACCGGCUAACUACGUGCCAGCAGCCGCCGUAACAC
rnacentral:rRNA from 1 species